GAUGAACGCUGGCGGCGUGCCUAAUACAUGCAAGUCGAACGCUUAUUUCCUCCGGAUGCCUUGCUCUCAAUUGGGGCGGGGGGGGGAGUAACGCGUGGUAAACCUUCGUUUACCUCUCCGACAACUGCGGGAAACAGUUGGUAACAGGUGCUAAUAUCUCGUACCGCAUUAUUCAGCAUGGCAUGAGAGUUAUGCUGUCUUUCAGAGAUGGAUCCGCGCUGCAUUAGCUAGUUGGUAAGGUAACGGCUUACCAAGGCAACGAUGCGUAGCCGACCUGAGAGGGUGAUCGGCCACACUGGAACUGAGACACGGUCCAGACUCCUACGGGAGGCAGCAGUAGGGAAUCUUCCGCAAUGGGCGAAAGCCUGACGGAGCAACGCCGCGUGAGUGAUGAAGGUUUUCGGAUCGUAAAACUCUGUUAUUAGGGAAGAACAAAUGUGUAAGUAACUAUGCGCGUCUUGACGGUACCUAAUCAGAAAGCCACGGCUAACUACGUG
rnacentral:rRNA from 1 species